AAAAGAAAAUUCUUCAAAUUAAUACAUUGCAACCUAUUAAUACAUAAAUACUAAUGUUAACAAUUAAUCUACUACAGAUUCUACACUAAUGAUGUCCUGAAGAAUUCCUCCUCUUUUGGACAUGGUUUGUCCAUUAGAGCUUGGUUCUCUCUUGUGUUAAAUUUUAACUUUCAGAUUUCAAAACCGGUUGAUUUGGCCAAUAAAUGGCCAAAUUUGCAUGUAUCAGCUUGUAACCAAAACAAACAAAAGAUAGAACAAAAGGAUUUGAGUAAAGAGGAAAUGGUAUGCUCAAUAGAAGUAAAGAACUGAUUUCAAAAAACCUCAAAUCUAACCCUAAUCACUAACUUUGCAAGAUUGAAGCUCAUAAAACAUUCAAACAUAGAUCAAUCUACUCAUGCUCAGAACUUAAGCUCACAUGUUCAAGGUUUAAUCGUCCAUAUCAUUAUAUACUAGGUAUUAUCAUGAAACAAGAAAACUCCUUUGCUCAAAUAUAAUUUAUGCAACAAAUUUCACAUUUCUUAAACAACAUACAUUACAAGAGGAGAAUAAGAUUCAGUACCUUGCACAAUAGCAAUAAACAACAACUAAUAGUGCAGAAACAAGCUGAAAAUUGAAUAACACAGCAACAAAACUUCAGCAACUAAAAGAUCUAAUUGGUUGAAGCCUUAAAUAACAAUAGAGCAGCAAUAAACAUCCACAAACAACCAAAUCAGACCCAAGCCCAGCUUUUAAAACCAGAGCUUCAAAUCAGAAAAGGAACUUAGAACCAACUUGAAAACCAAAAGAUUCAGCUAAGAGUGACUAAGAAUGUUUCUAUUUCAAACCAUGCUUCAAGAUUGGAAGGAAUUAGAGGUUUUUGGAGUUUCAAAGCUGUUUUUGAAUAUGAACUUUUCAGAGAAUAAAACUAUUUUUAGAAAGAUUGCUGAUAAAAAU
rnacentral:lncRNA from 1 species